rnacentral:rRNA from 1 species
UACGAAGGGGGCUAGCGUUGCUCGGAAUCACUGGGCGUAAAGGGCGCGUAGGCGGCCAUUCAAGUCAGAGGUGAAAGCCCAAGGCUCAACCUUGGAACUGCCUUUGAUACUGUUUGGCUUGAGACCGGUAGAGGUAAGUGGAACUGCGAGUGUAGAGGUGAAAUUCGUAGAUAUUCGCAAGAACACCAGUGGCGAAGGCGGCUCACUGGCCCGGUACUGACGCUGAGGUGCGAAAGCGUGGGGAGCAAACCGG